rnacentral:lncRNA from 1 species
GUUAUAAAACAUUCUUGUAUUUUAAAGCUUACCAGAAAAACUGUUCCAUUCCAACUGGGCAAAUCCCCCCAGGCUAAUGUACAUAAACGAAUAAAAGAAAGAUGCGAUCUAUUUCAGAGUACCCUAGCUUCUCUUCCAUGUUUUUCUUGAGUUCUCCUUCACCAGCUCCUCUUCCCGCCCCGGCGUGAGCACAGCAGAGCCGGCCCCAGGGGUCCUCUCCUUUCCCCUGACCCCCCCUCACCUGCUCUCUCUGCAGAACCCGAGGGCCUGCUGGGAACCAGGCAGGCUGUCAAUGCAUAAAUUAGGCUGCAUCCGUGCAGAAGCCUCCUCUACCAGACAAGCUUGACCUUGCCUUCCUUCUCUGUCCUUGUAGAAUCCAGUGUGAGCAAGAAUCCUGCUAAGUCAGUUUAAGAAAAGUCCCCGCCCUCGGUGUCUUAGCACCCUGAGAUCCUACCACCCUGGCCGGCUGUCAGCAACGAUCCUAUCAAGUCUGCUUGGCCAGAAACCCCUUCUUGAUGCUGUCUCUUCUUUUUCUAUUUGAAGGUCUCUGUUGAGCUAUGGCUGAUGUACAGGAACCUGCAUGUCUUCAGAUCGUACAACCUGAGGGAUGCUGGUACGUGGCUGUGUGCGUAAAAUCACCCUCCUGGUCGAGACAGUCGAGGUGCCCGCACCCCUCCUGGAGC